rnacentral:rRNA from 1 species
GGGACAACAGACGGAAACGACUGCUAAUACCGAAUAAGUUCCAAGAGCCGCAUGGCCCAUGGAAGAAAAGGUGGCCUCUACCUGUAAGCUAUCGCCUGAAGAGGGGUUUGCGUCUGAUUAGCUGGUUGGAGGGGUAACGGCCCACCAAGGCGACGAUCAGUAGCCGGUCUGAGAGGAUGAACGGCCACACUGGAACUGAGACACGGUCCAGACUCCUACGGGAGGCAGCAGUGGGGAAUCUUCCGCAAUGGGCGAAAGCCUGACGGAGCAACGCCGCGUGAGUGAUGACGGCCUUCGGGUUGUAAAACUCUGUGAUCCGGGACGAAAAGGCAGAGUGCGAAGAACAAACUGCAUUGACGGUACCGGAAAAGCAAGCCACGGCUAACUACGUGCCAGCAGCCGCGGUAAUACGUAGGUGGCAAGCGUUGUCCGGAAUUAUUGGGCGUAAAGCGCGCGCAGGCGGCUUCCCAAGUCCCUCUUAAAAGUGCGGGGCUUAACCCCGUGAUGGGAAGGAAACUGGGAAGCUGGAGUAUCGGAGAGGAAAGUGGAAUUCCUAGUGUAGCGGUGAAAUGCGUAGAGAUUAGGAAGAACACCGGUGGCGAAGGCGACUUUCUGGACGAAAACUGACGCUGAGGCGCGAAAGCGUGGGGAGCAAACAGGAUUAGAUACCCUGGUAGUCCACGCCGUAAACGAUCCAUAAUGGGUGUAGGAGGUAUCGACCCCUCCUGUGCCGGAG